rnacentral:rRNA from 1 species
ACAUGCAUACAACAUAGCGUUAAUGCACCGGAUCCCAUUAGAACUACACAAUUAAGUGCGCUCAGGCUAGAGUAGUAAUGGGAUGGGUGACCGCCUGGGAAGUCCUAGUGUUUUACAUGCC